CCACUUUAAAAGAGAAUUGAUGUUCUCUUCACGGAUGCUAUUGAGAGAUGGGAUGUAAAUACCAUUAACAAUCUUCCAGACUACAUGAUAUUGUGCUUCCUAGCGCUUUAUACCACUAUCAAUGAAAUGGCUUUUGAUAUCUUCAAAGAUCAUGCAGUCAAGUGGCUUCCCUAUCUCAAAAAAGCUUGGUGUGAUUUGUGAAAAUCGUUUCUGCAAGAAGCAAAAUGGUCCAACAACAAAGUUGUACCAGGAUUCAAGGAGUACUUAGAAAAU